rnacentral:rRNA from 1 species
UACGUAGGGUGCGAGCGUUAAUCGGAAUUACUGGGCGUAAAGCGUGCGCAGGCGGUUCGUUAAGUUCGUUGUGAAAGCCCCGGGCUCAACCUGGGAACUGCAAUGGAAACUGGCGGGCUUGAGUGUGGUAGAGGAUGGCGGAAUUCCCGGUGUAGCAGUGAAAUGCGUAGAGAUCGGGAGGAACAUCUGUGGCGAAGGCGGCCAUCUGGACCAGCACUGACACUGAGGCACGAAAGCGUGGGGAGCAAACAGG